CGCGUAGGCGGCGGGUCAAGUCGAGUGUGAAAGCCCCGGGCUCAACCUGGGAAUUGCGCUCGAGACUGACUUGCUGGAGUUCGGGAGGGGAGCGUGGAAUUCCCAGUGUAGAGGUGAAAUUCGUAGAUAUUGGGAAGAACACCGGUGGCGAAGGCGGCGCUCUGGACCGAGACUGACGCUGAGGCGCGAAGGCGUGGGGAGCAAACA
rnacentral:rRNA from 1 species